rnacentral:lncRNA from 10 species
GCCCACUUCAGCCUCCCAAAUUGCUGGGAUUACAGGCGUGAGCCACCGUGCCCAGCCACAAUGUGGUGUUUAUUAUACAGUUGGAUUGACUUAAAUACAUUCAUGGCAUUUAAAAUGAAAUUUUAAUUAUUACGAUUCCUAAAAAACAAAUGAACUAAAACUCAAUUACUUCCUUCAGAACAAAAACGUUACACUCAAAUUUCUCCCAUCAGAUCUCAUUUGGUUCAUUAAAUCUCCCUGGUGAAGAGGAUGGAUUCCAGAAACCCAGUGCCAACAAUGAAAUAUCACCCUCAUACUUGGCCCACGAGAACAUCAUAUACCAUAGUAGAGAUUUCGCCCUCCUCUUGGCCCCCGGGGGAGACUACUGUUGGCUCCUAGCACUAUCAGCUGGCUAGGAAUGUGUAUGCAACACUUCUGAAGCCUUGGAAACAUAGUACAGAAUGUACCCAUUUUAGGAUGAUUCAACUUUAUGAUUUUUCAACUUUUUGAUGGUAUAAAAGCGAUACAUAAUCAGUACAAACCAUAUACAUACCACCAUUUUUCAGUACAGUACUCAUUACAUGUGUCAACACUUUAUUAUAAGAUAGGUUUUAUGUUAGAUGAUAACACCAGCAUCUUGCUCAAUAAAUUGAAGCCAGCUUUUUCAACAGAGAACAUUAUUAGAAUGAAACUAGAUGCAAGAACAGGAAAGUAAACACCUGUGUCAUGUUCAACAAGACUGAACUACGGAGCAAAGAAUCACACAGUGUUGCAAGAUCUUGAACUGACUAGAUGAUAGGAUUACAAAAACCACACAGCUAUUGCUGGAAAAUUAUGUCAUGCAGAGAACAGACUGGCACGAUUACAUAUGUGGGUUUGUCCUACACAAACCAGACCUUUAAGUGAAACAAGUCUAUCCAACCAUCUUCCCAUAAAACCUAGUUUCUAUGGAAAACAAUCAAUUAAGCUAAACCCCCACAUUUUAGAUGUAUAUUCAUUUAUAGAAGCCCAAAAGGACAGUGGGGUUACAAAUAAUUUUAUAUUUUAGAUGCUUUCAUAAUUUAAAAAGUUAACAUUACAAUUUGUGUUACUAAAAUGCAAAAACAGGAUUGGCAUGCUGCCUCAUGCCUGUAAUCUGAACAUUUUGGGAGGCAGCAUUGAGGUUUCCUUCCAGUUGAAUC